UACGUAGGGGGCACGCGUUGUCCGGAAUUAUUGGGCGUAAAGAGCGUGUAGGCGGUCCGGUAAGUCAGCUGUGAAAGUCAAGGGCUCAACCCUUGAAUGCCGGUUGAUACUGUCGGGCUAGAGUCCGGAAGAGGCGAGUGGAAUUCCCGGUGUAGCGGUGAAAUGCGCAGAUAUCGGGAGGAACACCAAUGGCGAAGGCAGCUCGCUGGGACGGUACUGACGCUGAGACGCGAAAGCGUGGGGAGCAAACAGG
rnacentral:rRNA from 1 species